UGCGACCCCAGGGACUGCAGCACGCCAGGCUUCUCUGUCCAUGGAAUUCUCCAGGCAAGAAUACUGGAGUGGGGAGCCAUUCCCUUCUUCAGGGGAAACUUCCUGGCCCAAGGAUAGAACUUGGGUCUUCUGCAUUGCAGGCAGAUUCUUUACCAUCUGAGCCAUCAGGAAAGUCC